GACGAACGCUGGCGGCGUGCUUAACACAUGCAAGUCGAACGGAAGGGCCCUGCUUGCGGGGUACUCGAGUGGCGAACGGGUGAGUAACACGUGGGUGAUCUGCCCUGCACUUCGGGAUAAGCCUGGGAAACUGGGUCUAAUACCGGAUAGGAGCCAUUUUUAGUGUGAUGGUUGGAAAGUUUUUUCGGUGUAGGAUGAGCUCGCGGCCUAUCAGCUUGUUGGUGGGGUAAUGGCCUACCAAGGCGGCGACGGGUAGCCGGCCUGAGAGGGUGGACGGCCACAUUGGGACUGAGAUACGGCCCAGACUCCUACGGGAGGCAGCAGUGGGGAAUAUUGCACAAUGGGCGCAAGCCUGAUGCAGCGACGCCGCGUGGGGGAUGACGGCCUUCGGGUUGUAAACUCCUUUCGCUAGGGACGAAGCUUUUUGUGACGGUACCUAGAUAAGAAGCACCGGCUAACUACGUG
rnacentral:rRNA from 1 species